AAGGCCUUUACUGACGCUAAAGCUCGAAGGUGCGGGUAUCGAACAGGAUUAGAUACCCUGGUAGUCCGCACGGUAAACGAUGGAUGCCCGCUGUUUGCGAUAUACAGUAAGCGGCCAAGAGAAAUCGUUAAGCAUCCCACCUGGGGAGUACGCCGGCAACGGUGAAACUCAAAGGAAUUGACGGGGGCCCGCACAAGCGGAGGAACAUGUGGUUUAAUUCGAUGAUACGCGAGGAACCUUACCCGGGCUUGAACUGCAGCGGAAGGAUACAGAGAUGUUGACGUCCUUCGGGACCGCUGUGGAGGUGCUGCAUGGUUGUCGUCAGCUCGUGCCGUGAGGUGUCGGCUUAAGUGCCAUAACGAGCGCAACCCUUUUCAUCAGUUGCCAUCAGGUGAUGCUGGGCACUCUGUUGAUACUGCCACCGUAAGGUGUGAGGAAGGUGGGGAUGACGUCAAAUCAGCACGGCCUGUACGGCCGGGGGUACACACGUGUUACAAUGGGGCAUACAGAAGGCAGGAUCAUGGCAACAUGGUUCAAAUCUUUAAAGUGCUCCUCAGUUCGGAUUGGGGUCUGCAACCCGACCCCAUGAAGCUGGAUUCGC
rnacentral:rRNA from 1 species